rnacentral:lncRNA from 1 species
UUUUUUUUUUUUUUUUUUUUAAGGUUUCAAUACUCCUGGAUGUUUAAAGAUGAUGAAAUCUUGAAACACACACGUUCCAUGUAAACAUGUAAUUAAGCAUAAAACCUAAUUAGACAAUAUUAUUACGUACCUCGGAAGGAUUAUACAGAAAAUAAAGAUCGAGUAUAUAUGUAUGCUCAGAAAGUACACACAGUAAAAGUGGUGGUGAUCAUCAUGCAAAUCCAAGCCUAUAGCCUCUUUGGUCUUCAAGCAUAUAUAUAUAUAUAUGUAAAGUAACUAAGAAAUCUCAUUGAAAAACGGGUAGUCCUCCAGAAGCAAGUCAGACCAAACAGAAUUGGUAGCCACUCCUCCAUAGCUUGAAGUAGUAGUGCUACAAGUAUCACCCAUAUUAUUAUUGCUUGUUGAAGUCUCCGUCACCGGAGGAACCGCCAAUGGAGGAGGAGAGGGAGUACUGGUAUUGGAAGACGAAGGGAUAUUCCAUGAAACAUUGUUGGGAGAGUUGUCCAUUUGGCUCAACACUGUAAAUUGAUCUUGAGCUUGAUUAAUGAUCAUGUCCUUUUGAUAAGCAGAGGAGGGUACUAUUUGCAAAUCAGGCAAAGGAGAGAAAGGAAUUGAAUCCUGGACAGAGGAUGACCCAAGGUAUUGUGCUGAGGUUUCCAACCGCGAUGAACCAAACACUGGAUUAACAUCUUUGAUUGAUGAGCAGAGUGAAUUCAACAGACCAAUGGUCUCAAUGUCAGUGAAAUCGCUUAGGUUGUUUGAGGUAGAAACUUGAGGUUGGAUGAGGUAUUGUAGGUAUUGAAUUUUUGCCAUUUGAGCAGCUUCUGCUUGUAGUCUCAAGGCUUGUUCAUCCCAAGAUGCCUGGCUGCUGCCUUGGUCAAUAAGCUCUUUCAAAUUGACAAGAGCUAGAAGGUGAGGCAAACUGGAGAAGAUGUCAGUUCGAGGCCGGUGGGUCAUCGGAUCAAAACCCAUCUGAAUCAGCUUUUUCUUCAAAUGAGUGUUCCAGAAAUUCUUGAUUUCGUUAUCCGUCCUACCCGGUAGGUGGCUUGCAAUUGCUGACCAUCUUGUACGUAAUGAGCAAAACAAUCAACGGGUAAGUUUAUGUAUCCAGCAAAAUAACGUGUCAGACUAUGUCUGAUUGGAUAGAUAUAUCUAAAUGUAUGAAACAUAAAUGAUUUCAAGUCGUGAAGCAAUUAAGGGAAUUACUUGUUGCCAAGGAUGGAAUGAAGAUUCAGAAUUGUUUGCUCUUCUUCUUGGGAAAAUUUGCCUCUCUUUAUAUCUGGCCUAAGGUAGUUUGUCCAUCUUAGCCUGCAACUCUUGCCACAUCUGUUCAACCCUGCGAAUAAUUAGAACAAAACAUCAGUACUGAUCUCUUUUGAGAGAGAGAGAGAGAGAGAGAGAGAGAGCAGAUGAUCGAUGAUCAUCGAUCACUAUAUAUAUACCUGCAAGUUUGGGAAGGGCUCUCCAGCUCCCAUGACCGUGUUUCUGUAUGUAAUUCAUGAGCUUCUGAUCUUCUUCAGGAGUCCAGGGACCUUUCUUGAGUCCACUAUCAUCGCAACACGGAGACCUUCCCAUUUUUCCUCUACCUAAUAAGUGAGAAUAUUUGGCUGCCUCCUUCCGAUCCAACCUUCAAUGAUAGCUUUCUAUUUAUAUACAAUCCAUGUUGUCGUUGCCUCCAAUCACAUCGAAAUUGACUGACGUGCUAGUCUCCUAUUUGCUAGCAGAACAACUCUACCCUUUUCCUGAGCCAAAUGACAAGCAUGCCCUCCCCUACCACAAACCCUAAUGCCCCCCUAAUCGCCUAUGACUUAUAUAUUACAUAUUUAGAUAAUAAAUUAUGAUUGUUUUGGUUUGACAAAUUAAAAGUGUCUCGGCUAAUUAUGAUUAAGUGGCUAAUUAACGAUGACCCAUAUGGCUAAUGUGGGGACUAAUGUUCUGUGAUGGAUCAAAUUAAGAUCUGUGUUGCUCGUCACUAGUUAUAAUUCAUAGUAGUGUGCUCGAUUCACCAAAGUUUUGCUUUAAUAUCACGUUGGUGCAUGGGCUACGACAAAAUGGAAAAUGUCAAGCUGAGCAGGUUAUAACUUGAGAGCUAAUAUUAUUCAUGAAAAAUUAUGAUCAAGUGCAAGUGCGGCGGCUCUUCCCCUAUAUGGAUUUUCGCUGUGUGAUUUUCGCUCUCUCUCUCUCUCUCUCAAUAUAUAUAUAUAUAUAUAUAUAUAUAUAUAUUAUACUACUAAUACCAUAUACUGCUAACAUGAGUUGAGAGUAUCAACGAUGAUAUCCUUAAAGGUUUUCUGAAUCCAAAGACUAAUUAGUCGUGAAUUAAUAAACGAAAUCUUAUUCGUUAAUGUCCGAUUGCAUGCCUAGCUUGUUGCAUUUCCUCGAUCACACUUUGAAUUUUCUGCAACUUCGAAUUCUUUGAGAUAAGUCGUUAAACCUAACCUUAUAACGCAGAGACUUUGAAAGUUCGGGAUCGAUCUAUUUCGUACAAGAAACUUGAGAAUUUGGCAUAAUUUCCCCUAUAUAUUCGUUCAUAUAUGCAUGUAUGUAUAUAUUAUGUAGUGCGUUUGAAUUAGGGCAUGCAUUAAGGCAAAUAAUAAUGGAAAGGGGGAAGUCAGCAACAGGGAACAGGUGGCACGUCACCGGUGGGUGGAGAAACUCAUCCAUGCACGCAACGAGACCCUCUUGGUUUCGUCACUGAUUGCAUGGCUUGCUCGAUCUCUCACAAAUUAAUAUCGAUCAUCAAUUAUAUUUAAUUAUUCACGUACCUUGCUAUAAACUAAUUAAGCUGCAUGGGUCCUCGAUAUGAAAUAUUUGGCCAGCUUACGCAUCACCUUAUUAGUACCCAGUCUCCUCGCAAUUUGCCUUCGUUCGUUCACCACCUUUCUCACCGGAGAAAGAAUAAAAUUAAGACCAAAUUAGCUAUUUAAGAAAUUAAAGGCUAGGCAGAAAGGGGUACAUAGUACUAUAAUUAGCGAGCCCUACAACGAUACAUCUAAUCAUCCCAUGUUAGUGCAAGUAUAUAAACUUAUACUAUCAGCAAGCAGGUUGGUGUUCAUUAAGAUAUUUAUCUUCACUUUUAGUGAUUUAAGUAUACAUCAAAAAUCCCACACCAAAAAAGAGAGGAGUAUUAACCAAAUGCAUACCAUAUAUAGACAAUUAUAAUCCUACUAGCUUUAUCUCAGAAGAUUUGACCAGAUACAUUAAUUUUUUAGCUAUGAUCAAAUAAUACAAGCGUCCAUUUUUCUAAAAAAAAAAAUUAAAAAAAAUGCUCACAUAAAGCUCUGUAUAUAUAUGGUUUUCAAUUAAUCUGGACUUUGAUAAGUCAGCUAUAAAUAAAUAUAUUAUAUAUAUACACACACAAGUUCCUAUUUAGAACGAAGCUUCGCUCUGAAAUUAAAGUGUGAAGUUCCUUGUUUGACUCAGUUUUUCGUCAUAUUUCCACAUCUCCAUUGUUCAUAUUAUUGAUACUAAUGUAUAGAUCAUUCGUACAAAAUUUCAUCAAGAUUGAUGAUCGUUUAGGUACUGAAUUAGAUCAAAUCAAUGAAUGGACCAUAAAUUUGUCUAACCAGAACUGUUUGUGUAAAUAACGAUUAUGAAAACACAAACGAUCAUCAAAUUAGAUGAAACUUUACAUAAGUAAUCUAUACAUUAGGUUCUACAAACUAAAUGGUGAAGAUGUGAAAAUAUGAUGAAAAAAUGAGUCAAAUAAGGAAUUUCACACUUUAAUUUCAGAGCGAAGUUUCGCUCUGGAUAGAAACUGUAUACAUAAUAUAUAUAUAUAUAUAUAUUUUGAGAGAGAUCUGAUUUUGGUUAUUUAUGCUUAAUAUAUUCUACUAAUUAAGCAUAAGAAUGACAUGAUCAUAUAUAUGAUAAUAUGGGUCUCAACUCUCAAGCCCUGAAUUAGGGAACGUUUACGUGAGUUUUUGGUAGUUGAUGGCGGGUUGAAUUAUUUAAAUAGAAACGCAGCCACCCAGAUCCAUUGCUUUUCUGCUUAAUUUCUAGGGUUUGGACCAAAAGAAAGAGUUUGAUCCGUACGUAUAAAACCAAUUCUUUACUCGAUCUCAAUCUUUAGAAACCUCGCAGUUUCUAAUCAAUAGCUGAUUAAGCAGGUAAGCUAUAAGUAUAUUCCCCCUAACCCCCUGACAUAUGUGAAUGAUACGCUCUCUGUACGUAUUAGAAUACCUCAGUCGCUCGAUUACUCUUAUUUUCAUUUAGCUUGCCAAAUACUCGAUCUCUGUAUUAAAAUACCUUAAUCACUCGAUUACUCUUUCAAUUUAGUUUGCUUUUGGCAAACAAGGUUCCAGUAUUAACAGAAUUUCUCAUCAGUUACCUCAUAUAUAUGAACUAGCUUUAAACUUCAUAUAUAUACCAAGACCAAUCACAGAAGAUAGCUUCUUUAAUCACAGAAGAUGUUGAUUAAUUAUCAGAAUAAAUUAAUCACAUUUCUUCCAAUUAUGUACCCAGAAGUGCUAACAGUACUAUAUAACUUGUCUAUUACUCGUGUAUUUGUUAUUUAAGUUUUGCAAUACUUACACAAGGAUAAGGACGUGAGUGUGACCCGUUUGACCGUUGAGAUGAUUAGACAAGAAGUUGGUGCGGCAAGCGCUCUAAUUUCCAACCCUAGCCUUUAAAAUCUCAUGAAAUUGAAUUGAUGCAUCGAUCCUAGCUUGCUUUCUUCUUCUCCAGCUAUAACCUGAUCAAGAAUGCAUCAAUGGCAUUUGUUGAUGGCUAGCUAUCUUCGUCCUAUAUCCUUUGUCCUGCUAGGAAAACAGAUCGAGAUCUAUAUAUUCAUUUCGAUCCAAAAAAGUAGGAAGAUGCAUGAGAAGAUCGAUGUAGGUGAAGCAAGCGGCUAGCUAGCUUGAAUUAAUUUGGACAAUAGAAAAUACUCAUGAUCAAUAAAGGAAUGCCAUCAUCAUUUAUUUAUUUUUUGAAUAAAGAGCUGGUAUGGCUGCCAUCAAAUCUUAAUGAAAUGUCAUCGUCUAUGUAUGGUUUAGUCUGUUAAUACUCCCUUCACAGUUUUUUUCUUAAUAUUGGAGUCAAAAUAGUACGCACACGCACACAUAAUCAAGUAGAUCGAAGAUAGGUAGAAAAUUAAACUUUGACAUGAAUUUCAAACAAAAAGUCUUCCUGAAAUCAAUUCAGAUCCAAUUCCAAGCAAAAUUAAUUAGUUCCACUUCAAAUGCUGGAUAUAUACGUGCAUGUGUGUUAUACGUACAAAGACGUAAUUAAAAACAUGUAGAGCGUAUAGAUUGGGAUCGUUAUAUAACAUAAAAUGCUCGAUUUCCGUCUAAUUAAUCGAGAAUAAACUUGUAUAUGUUUUCUUGUUACUGAAGCAAUCGAGCUCUGUUAAACUAACUCGUAGUAAAGCAUCACAUAUUAAAAUUGGCACUUGUAUAUUUAGGUCAAAGCAACAAGGACGUUCAAGAACAGUGAGAAUCCCAUUAGUUUUCUUUCUUUUAAUUUUUGUUCUCCCUAACCCUCUGACCUCAUUUUGCUGUCGGUACAAGUUUUACUCCUCCUUAAAAAGGUUCUCAAAUCUUGAGUUCUUGACUUCAUUGAGAGAGACGAAGGAAACCCAUCAAGACUAAUUAGGGUUUUAACAUUAAUAUUAACCUCUCUCAUAUAAAAGAUUGCUUCUUCAACUCAAUUAAGGUUCCUUGUCGGAUGGACCAUCAUCAUCUCACCAUCAAAACAAAGUAGUAAUAAUUGGAAACGAGGCAGGUUUUAGAUAAACAAAUAAUAUGUGGCUAGGUCAAGUGAUGUCACGUAAACAGAAUAGGAGAGUAAUGUUGAAUAGAAAAGAUCAAUAAGUUUAUAGCUGUGUGUAGUGUCAGCUAAACAACUGAAUUGCUUGCUCUCUUAAGUUUCUACCCAAUACAUCUAAACUCGGACUUUCUAUGCCUUCCCUAGCCACGUAUGCGUCAUUUUCUUUCUCUCCCAUCACUCCUAUCUUUCCAGGACAAAAGAAAUCUCCCAUUUAAUAUUAGCAUGAUAUAGUAAACGGAGGCAAGAUAUUGUAAACCACCAUUCAUGAUUUGGUUUUGUUUUUGAGUUUUCGAAAGAUACAUGCAAAGAAUUCGAUCUAAUUGAUGAUAUUGAUGUCUUAAUUUUCAAAGAAACAAGAGUGAAUAUUGAUGUCAUCGACUGCAGGGUGCUGGCCUGGAGUAGAUUGAUCAUCGAAUUUUGUAGAUCAAUUUCAGUGUUUAUCAGUAAAUUCAUCUAAUAUUGAAGAUCAAUUUCAGUAUUUUUGCUGUUCUUUAAUGGUGUGUGAGAACAUAAUAUUGAUUAAAUUCAUGAAUUAGCAGGCUGCUGCCUGUUUUGUCAAGAUAUGAAAAAGGGCUUAGGUAGAACGAAGAUAUGUUGAGUGAGGAUGAAGAGUGCAAAGAUGAAUUGACUAAUUUAAUGAUGUUAAUGAGAGGAAAUAUGGCAAGCAACUCGCUUAAUUCAUCUCAACCCAGAAAGUCUGCCGGCCAUUGGAUCUCACAGUGGGAAAAGGUUGAAGUUUUUGAUGAUAGAGUAAUUAUGUGUGUCGACUCAACUUUCAAGCAGUUUCCAUUCAGCUUUAUUACAUCACAAAUUAAAGAACCCAGAAAGGUAGUGUUUGAAGUUAGAGGCUUAUCGAUGAGUAGCUAUGACCUUACGUACUAAAAACACGACUCCCUGAUGACUCAAAACUCAAAUCGUGUUCGAAGGUAUAGACUCAACGAGUAUGACCAGUAGUACUAUGCAGAUCAAACCCAGGUUUCUAAAUCUGGCUUUUCUGCAGUAGUGCUCUGAAAACCCUAGCUGGUUUCCAGAUUAGUUUUACCAAAUACUUUCUAUAAUUAGUUAGAUUUCACUAUCGUCAUCUUAUUAAUCUUGCUUCUACGGUUCUACCUGAAAAUUGAAACCUCAUUUGAAUCCUAGCUUUCUCAAAGUAUAGACUGGAGGAUUUGAUCAAUACGUAGUACAGUGCAGAUCAACCCUAGAUUUCUGAAGUCUGACAAACCCAACUGAUCGAGCUUGAUCAAAUAGUUUCUAUCGAACCCUUUCCAUUUUUAGUGGGGUUUCAUUGUCGUCAUCGUUUAUCAGCUAGUUGUGGUUGAUCUCCUUCCUGGCAAAUUAAACCUUGUUUAUUUUCUAAAUGAACUGAGGGUGGUUUCAUCUCCUCUAACAUCGAAAAUGACAGUUAGAAUAACAAGUAUUGUGAAGUGCUCGAAUUAACAAAUAGAAACUGCACCAAAGAAGCAACCCAAGCUUUGUUUCUAUAUAUGAGAACUAUCAAACACUCCAUUACGUCUAUUACACGUGAACUGCGAUGGAGCAUUCAUCGAACAACAACUUCACUCUUUAGUCUUUAGUCUAUUCCAAACCCUUCAUAACCCAACAACCCUAAUACAAAGCACAAAAUUUGCCUGUGGGGUCUUGUAAAUCUAUGCUAAUUUCAUCAUAUCUUUACCGUUUCGAAUCACAAAUAACGUGUCCAUGUAACGAAAGGCUAAGGGUUUCUUUCUUCCAUAGUAGUUCUUAUAUAUCGUAUAUCUAUAUUCCUUCGAACCCUAUUGGUUUUGACUAAAGCUGGCAUAUAUACACGGUUGCCAUCACCUUUCUAUAUAUAAGAUGCUCUCUGCAAUAUUACUUAUAAUGAAAAGAUUCAACUUAUAAUAUAUAGUUUCUUCCUAACUGAUAGUAUGACAGUAUGACUCCAAAUCAUGCAUAUUUUCUAAUGCAAUCUAUCUCGAUCAGAGACGAUCAACCAUUUCUGAAUGCUUUUUCCUCACUCUUCAUUUACAGACUACCAAGGCAUCCAUUUUUCUCAACCAUUAUGCCUAAUCUUGUUGAACAGAAACUCAAGCAAACACACAAGCACAUUGUAAACUACUGUCACGUCGUAUGCUGUAUUAAUUAUUUCAUUGUUAGCCAGUAGUUCAGUACUACUGGAUUUGUAGAUAUGAACGAUUCCAAAUGCUCAACAAACUUGACGUUCAAAUAUACAUAUCAAUUGCUCUAUAUAUUAAUAUAUAGGAUGAUAAUCAUGUUCUCUUAGUGAUCGAGUGACGGGAGUAUUGUUUUUAUGAUCAAGUAGUACUCAUCAGCAUAUACAGUAUAUGAUAGUGUUUAUUCAUAUAUAUGCAGAAAACUUGAUCCCAUUACCAUGUAAAUUGAUUGACACCCCGGAUAUACGAAAAUGUUCAAUUUUAUUUCGGAAAAUGAUUUAGCCUUAAUAAAGCCUAAAAUUUAUGGUUUUAAUCUUAGGUGCAUGUUAUAUCACCUAGACACAUUACCAAUUAAAAAGAUUAUGUCAUUUCGUUCUUAAGCAAAAAUAUAAUCUUAUCAUUUUAAAUCCAAUGGCUCUAGAUUAUUUUAUCUUUUAAUUAAGACAAAGAAAUUGAUUUGUCUUUCUUUUAUAAAUAAAAAAUAUAUAUUUCUAGCAUUUUCUUUCUCUUUUUCUUUUCAUCAUCAUCAUGCUUUGAUUGAACGUAAUAUAUAGUGUGAAAAUACAUAUAUUUCUGAGAAUAUACUUGUUCAAAAACACGAAUUCUUAUGAAAUAUAUAUAUAUACAUAUAUAAUUUGUCCAAGAAAAAACAAUUUCGUCCAGGUUUUUUUUUUUUACAUAUAUAUAUAUGUAUAUGUAUAUACAUGCUUUUUUGGCUAAGGAGGUCCUUAUUUAUUCUUAUGGUGCGGAUUUCCAAUUUAGACUCACUUUUCAAUCGAAUUUUUACAUCUUCACCAUCUAGUGUUUAGAUACUAAUGUAUAGACUAUCUCUACAAAAUUUCAGUCAAUUUGGUUAUCAUUAAGGCACUCAAAUUCGAUUAAACCAAUGGAUGAACAUAAUUCUGUCGAACUUGAACCGUUCAUGUUUAUUACAGAAAAACACAGUUUUGAGUGCCUUAAUAAUAAUCAAAUUGGCUGAAAUUUUACAGAGAUGAUCUAUACAUUAAUAUCUAAAGACUAAAUGGUGGAGAUAUGAAAAUUCGAUUGAAAGUGAGUCUAAAGUGGAAACCCGCACUGUAAAAAUAAAUAAAAACCUCCUUAGCCAAGAAAGACUGUAUGUGUGUGUGUAUAUAUAUAUAAUUCGUUUAAAAUAAAGUAUAUAUAUAUACGUAAUCAUCCAAAAAAAAUUCGGUUGAGAUUUUUCAUAUUUCUAUUUUUUUUUUAAAAUUUGAUACAUAGAUAUCAUAAUUUUAAACUGCAAAAAUAAAAUAUUAAAAUAGAACAAAAUUUCGAUUCACAAAGAUAGAAAGAAAUUUUAAUAAAUUUACGAAAUUGAUUUAUGGUAUAAAAGCUUAAUUUGGUAUGAUUAUUAACUUGGUCAUUAUUAUUAAUAAAUUAACUAAAUUUGGUAUAUACGCAUCCAUAUUAAAAGGUUAAGAAAAUAUUUCAUAUUACCUAGGUGUCAGAUAUCAAAUUAGAGCAUUCAACCAGGUAUAUACACUACAUAUACGUACGAAGAAGAUGACCGCUUAUAAUUUGAGGUUUUUUUUGUACUUUAUUUUUUGGGUUUUUUAAGGGUGUAUAGAUGAUCGUCGAAUGUUUAAAGUUUAAACCUAUAUAAUGGAUUGUUCUACGUACACUUCUACAAUGAGAUAUAUUACUUUAUGAAAAGUCAUAUAUUACUAUGUGUUAAUUAUAAUUGUUAAUCCCAUAUAUAUAUAUUAACAUGUACCUUAAUUUCAUAAUAAUGAUAAUAUUAUGUGAUUCAAACUAAUACCAUAAUAACUUGAUCUUAAUUUUCAAUUUACCACAAUCUCCGUCAAAUAAAAAAAAAUCAAUAUACAUCUAUGCCAGUGAGUGGUGAGGCACUUCUAGGGUCCAUUUGUUUGCUAAUGUGGCUAUACUAAUGACAUGACAAAAUUAAAGGUUUAAAUUAUGAAAAUUAAAUGAAAUUAUAUUACAGUUUUCGAUACAUUAUUUUGGAAGAAUAAAACGAAAAAUUGAUUGAAAAGAUGUCAAUAAAAGUUUAUAAUUUCACAGAGAUAUUGCUGUAAAUUGACAUAACUAUGAAUGGACUAAAAAUCUAUACUUUGGCGAAGAAGAUGUGAAGUGUAAAGUAAAAGAUGUUAUAUAAUUUUUAAAUGCACAAAAAUAAGAAAACUAAAGCUCAUUCCAAUGAAACUCUUAUCUCUUAGCUCGUUCAAAUGAUUCUUAUAAAAAAGACAUUAUUACCCUUUGUGUGAUUAAACCCACAUAUAUUUUAUCUCUUUUUCCUUCUCCUCUUUCUCCUCCGACGCAAAUACUCUCUCUCUCUCUCUCUCUCUCUCUCUCUCUCUCUACAUUGAGCUAAGCUAUGACAGCCGCACUGGUGUGCUGGUUGAGCCGUGCGAGCACGGAAGAGGACAUGGUGGAGCAGGCCAUGCUGAUGAGGACAGAGGACAGAUCGGAGGGGAUGAGCUCUUCGUUUUCGUCGGCGGAGAGCUCCGCCGCCGUUGCCGAAGUCAAGGAGUCGUCGGCGAUGCAGAAGAAGCUGUAGAGGCUGAGCAGGAACGUCUCCGAGGCAAUCGCGUCGCUUAAGAACUCGCUGAAUCUUGACUCGGCUACUGAGUUUCAAACGACGUCGUCUAAGAUCGAUAGCUGUAGGAAGGGGGUGUGGCGGAGUGUGGUGAGGAAUCUUACUUAGCUCCAUCUAGGGAGUCAGUUACCGGAGAAACUCGUCUAUAAUCUUCGCAAACAUUAUGAUUCUCUUCCCCUCAUGUUAAUUUUAGAGCUUUUUUACUUAGAUUUAAUUAAUUGACCACAGUAAAUUUUUGUUCUGAGUAGUUUGUUUUAGCUUACUGAUUUCGGUUUUGUUGAACAGCUAUGCUCAAGCCGGGUUUGAGAUGAAAGAAGUGUUUCUUCAUAUAAAAUUGAUAGAGCAGGCGGCAGUGGAUGACUACCCUGCAAUGUUGAUUCAAGAGGUUUCGGAGCAUGAAGCUCAGGGGUCUGUAUACAAGCUCACAUUUGCUUGUAACUCUACGGUUUCACGGCCGGUGAUGUCUAAUGCGCUUGAAACGGCAUCCAUUUGCUGUAAGAAAGUACAGAUCUUUGAGAAGAAGGGAUGUACUCUCGGCAUUGUUCUACUUCUAGUUCAAGGCGGGCAGGAGAAGUCGUUCAGAAGUAGUUUUAUUGGGGGUCAGUAACUAAUUAUUGGGGGUCAGUAACUCAAUUACUGAGGGUCAGUAACUGGUUACUGGGUGUCAGUAACUGGUCAGUGGGGGUCAGUAACUGUACUGGGUGUCAGUAAUUGGUUAUUAAUUGGUUAGUUGUUGGUUAUUGGGGGUCAGUAACUGGUUACUGGGGAAAUUCCGGUGACCGGAGUCCGGCUGUCGGGGAAAUUCCGGUGACCGGAGUCCGAGGUUCCGGCCAAGUCUUUUCAUGUUGAAGAGGUGAGGGCAAAAUAGUCUUAAAAUAAUAUAGUUUGUUAAGACUUUAGUAAAGAUUUGGCCAUUUGGGCACAAAAAAAGUUUACUUUCAUUCAAAUGGGCUCAUAGAAAAGAUUGUCAUUGGAAUGGGCAAUGAAGGGUUACAAUUAAUUAGUACUAAAUGGGCAUUUUCCUUUUUUAAAAUCAUAAGUUUGAGCUAGCUAUAAAUACUUAUGAUGGUAGUCUUUUGUUUGGCUAGGAGUACAUUGAUGAUUUCAAUGGUUAAAUUAAACUUCAUUGCAAGAUGAUAUGGCAUAAUAUGCUAGAACAAUUUUAUCUAUAUGUUUCGGACGUGGGGCUGAGUCUCUUAGCUAGGCUAUGUUCCAAACUUCUAUUUAAAAAAUAAACAAUAUAUGUUUUGAGGGAGGGGUUCUAAUGAAAACCACUAAGUUGAGAACUCAAAAUAUGUAUUUAAACAUCAUUUUAACAUAUAAUGAAGUCAAACACAAUACACAAUGGUGUUGUUAUUAUUAUAUGCACUCUUCGCUAACCCUAAUACCAAAUAAUUCUAAAGAUGGCUCAAUAAGCUUAGUCUUAAUUGUGUAUCCAGUUAAGUUUCUAGCGGUUUUAUGCAUAAAACACUGAGAAAUGAUGAAACUUUGAAGAUCAAGUUCUUCAGAAUUCAGAGCAUACAGUAUAUAGAGUAUAGGCCAUUUAUAGAAAAGUAUAUAUUUGCCCUUUUCAAUGGUUAGCUACCCCUUCAAUCCUCCAUUAUUUAUUAUAUUACUUCACCAAAAAAAUGCUUAAACCACCUCUUAAUAUAUAAUGAAAAUACAGAUAUCAUUUAGGUAAAUGAUCUGCAAAGUGAUAUCCUAAAAGGUGCUAACCCAAGUGACAUAUUUUAAUAUCUUUAAAUUGGAAUCUUAUGUGUUAAAAAUUUCUCCAACAAGAAGUUCGAAUUCUACGAUCAGUAUCAUUUAAUCUGGUAGCAUAUUCUUUCAUUCGUAAGUGAGAAGUUGUGAAUUCGGGAUCAGAAAGACUAAUUGUAGCGUUUGAGUUGUUUAUUUGAUACUGAGCUAGCUAUAUGUAACAAUCAACCUAUACUUGUAAGGAUGGAAAUGACCGAGAGGAUUCCAACAAAAUCCAAGUAAGAUUCAAAGUUAAAGGACUUGACUUUAGAUUAGGACUAAUAUAGUUUCGAGUCGUAUUUCAUUUAAAGGGGUUUGGAUCCCAAACCAAGCUGGGAGGCUCAUCUCCACGACUUAUUAUUCAUAGAGUACAUCCCGAAUAAUAACGGGCGUCUCCCCUAACCAUACAUGAUCUACCAAACUACCAUUAACAAGAUGACUAAUCUAUUAACCACACCAUUAUUUGCUUCUUGGAAAAUAUGCUUAAUCUGAAUAGAGUGUGUAAAGAUGUCAAAUAUUAUGACUUACAAUAUUCGAUAAUGCACCUUGCCUCAGAUCUAUCCGCCACAUCAUCCACAUCAUUGAUCAAAGAAUUCACCGCAAUAAAGCAGUCACACUCUAAAUCAAACUCGUUAAAAUUUUGGUGGAUAGCAAGAAGAAUACAUGCUCUAACGGCAUCCGCCUCCAUAUGCAAAGCUGACAAUUCAAAUGCAAAAUGACGUGCAAAGGCAGCUAGACACAUACCAUCGUUUCGAGUUGUUUCUGAUUAACUAAAAAUUACCGCUUAAGAAAUUGAAUCAUGUUUGGGCUAACCUAUUGAUCACACGGUUGUUAAAUUUGAAGCCUAAUUAAGGUCUAAAUUUUGUUCUAUAACUAUAUUUUUUGGAAAAUGAUUGUAAAAUUUAAAAUUUUUAUAGGAUAUUUUUAUUUUUAUUUUUAUCUAAGAUUAUAAACCAUAUUCGGAAACUCAAAUGACAGUUGAGCACCACUUGAAGAACACUCAUCAAGUAGGGGAACAUGAUUAGGUAUCAUAAACUGUGCAGCACACCAUGGUGUGAUUCCAUCCUUGACAACGAUUUAACGAUUUUCUUUCUUUCUUCUGGUAGAGAUCCAUGACACCGAUUAAGAUUUACUGGAGUUUGCUUUUGAUGCAGGGUUUUCACAACAUCUACAAAAACCGAUUAAUUCUUUGGAGCUUCUACUUGUAUUGAAGGUGAAGUACUUAAGAGUUUAUUUUGUUCAAAUGUGUGCCAGCUUCCUAAACUAUGGUGUUAUAAUGUUAUAACUCAAUCCCGUCCGAUCCUGUGCAGUUCAACGUAACAAACACACCCUUACUCUAUUCCAGCAUUCCUACUCUGCCCAUUAACUACGGUUCGAUAUCUCUGUGUAUUCACAAUUCUGUAAAUAAAGCAGGUUUAAACAGAUUUUGCUACCAGGAAAUGAAACCCUGGGGCACAACUCUCUUUGCAGACUUGACAUUUCAGUGUCAUGGAAUAGAAGAGACUCCUUCAUUGCUAUAGUCCAGCUCGUGGAUCUUUUUGGAGAUGGAGUUAAGCGUACUAGCAUCAGUAUUUCUUUUAAAGGGUGGCUGGGAAUGACGAAUCGGUAUUAGUCACCUGGCAUUUGUACCAUUUACUUCAGUUUCAUCAGUCCUUGAAAUAAAAACUAGGGUGAGGGAUGUGACCCAAGUAGAAUGAGAUGAUCGAUCUCAUGCAUCAUCUAUGAAUCUGAUUUGAAAGUUGAAACCAUUUUGAAAUGUUGGAGAUGAUUUGCCACUGAAAAUGCAUUCAAGCACACAGCGAAAUAACCUUUUUUUUUUUUUUGGCUGAAACACAGCAAAAUAUCUUGAAUUAGUAUUAUAGAUUACUAGAUAUUGUUUGGUCUGUGGUGCUCCUUCGAGGAGCUUGUACAACUUUAAGAAGUGAUGGUUUGGCCUGGAAUAUGCUUGUCAAUUUCUUGUAGCCGUGCCUCUACGAGGCCUGGCCAAUUAGGACCUCAUCACCGUCAUUGUCAUUGCCUCGAGCAGAUCACGUCCCAGUAAGAAAGUCUAUUGCAUAGGGAAUGGCUAGUGAAUCGGACACUAUAGUCGUACUGAGAAUACGAAGAUUUUGCCAUAAGAGAACUUCCACAAUUUCCAAACACUCGUACGCAAUCUUAACCAGGGGCAUUACACGAAGCGUCUCAUUUGAAUGUCCAAUUGCCAAAAUGAAUUGAACUCAUUGUGGAAAUACGCACAACCAUAGAGCUUCAGAUCAGCGUAGUAGCUAAACUUCUGAAACAUAUCAUGGCAGUCAUACUUUUUCGGCUUUCCCAUGUUAUAAAGGAGAUGGGGGAGUUCACUCUGGCUUGGUCGUGAGGGUAAAUGUUCAUUACUAGUCAUACUGUGUAAAUUAAAACCUACCCCCCAUUUACAUACUUCCACUUCUGAUAUAACAUGGGUUAGAGACCUAGAUCUGGGAGAUGCAAUAAGCUGUUCAGCUUUAGCCUCUAUAGAAAAGAUGACUCGAUCAAUAUUCUGAUCGGGGCACAGGCACAUCCUGAGGCUACCUAGAACAAGCUUGUUUGCUUUCACGCAGGGAAAUGUACAGCCAUUGUUUCCCUACCUCAAUAAGCCAUUGUCUGAAUGGCAGUUUCACAUAACUGGUAUCUUGAUCGGUGAUUUGAAGGCAUCAACCAGAUAACAAUCAUAACUAUCCAGAAAUGGUAAUUUCUGGUGUCUAGAAAUAGCAAUCAAUCCACCCUCUAUCCAAAUGAGAUGUGUAAUGAGAAAGACCAGACAAUCAUAUAACCAAUCCUAGCUAGCGACAGAAUAUCAUUAACAUGAAUUGUUUUGCAGUUUGCACUAAGAAAUCCAUUUCCAUUGAAACAAAACGAUGAUCAACAAGUAUAUGAUUCACACAGCCAGACCCAUAUUCUAAGCACUAGAGUUCAGUAGCAUUCUGAUCAACACAAUAACUUGUAUAUAUAUAUCCAACAAUUCAUAACAUUAUUGAAGGCGUACCUUAAGAAUUUUCACACCCUGACUUUCCAUAAGCAAAACCAACACGAAGCUGAGCAAAUGACCGCCAAAAAACUGAUCAUAACUUGAUGUAGCAAAUGUCCAGUAAAAAGCUAUAGUGUAUAAGAGAAAUGAAAGAGAGAUCACAACAAAGGAAUCAUCAGGUCUCUUUCUCUCCCAUGAUAUAUAUAGAUAUAUCUUAGUUGAUUGGUUAUAAAAGGGUCAAGGAACUUUCUGCAUGGAAAGCUUUCAGAUCACAUGAUAUAUGGAGUAGGAAUAGAUUGCCAUCACAUAGAUGUGUCCAUGAUUACAUCCACCAGAUCAUUGGACUUAUGAUAUAAAAGAAUCUAGUCAAAGCUUUAAAAUUUUCAGUGCAAAGCACAUGGAGUUGGUAAAACUGAAUACAAUUCAUAAACAGAUUAGGCUAUGCUCCCAUGAGGGCAUCCCCAUAUGCUUUUCCAUGUCCCUUCCCUUCCAAUGAUUGUAAUAAAACUAUAACCACAAGUGUUAAUUCAUAUUAUGAGGGCCCACAUGAAUACAUAAACCAGAUUAAGAAUGCAUAUAGGCUGGAAAGCUUUGCAGGCUUCCACAUUAUGACUUCUGCAGCGUGAAAAUGGCACAGCAAGUUCAAGCUGCCAUUUCCAACUUUGAAAGUACUGAGAAGGGAUUACUAAACAAUUAAGGAAAUCCAUAUGAUUUAAGUUCUAUCACUAUAUAAUACAAAGCUGGUGGUCUAUCCUGUAAAAGGAAAAGGAAUCUUUGAUUUCUUCUUUAACAAACAAAUCCGUGUUUGGUCAUAAAUCCAGGACAAACACAGAUUGUCAAUUCCUAAUUUGAAUGAUUAGCCAGAAAAUAGUAGAUUCUUAUCUGUCUAUAUAAGGCCAACAAUGAGGUCAAAGUAACUGUCAAUGUCCAUUACAAUGGACAUGAUAUUCAAAGAGCUCUCAUUAUUGUUUCGUUCUAUGGACAUGAUAUUCAAAGAGCUCUCAUUAUUGUUUCGUUCUAUCAACAGCCUAACUAGUAGCCUAGCACAAUUAGACCAGAGAGAAGACCAGAGAAAGGAACAAACCAAUCUUUAGAAGAAAAUCCCAAAUGCUUAUCCACAAAUUGGGAUUUCCACCUUGCCUACGAAUUCACAGAUAACACUUCCAAAUAAUGGAACUGAACCUUACAAAGACAAGAAAAAAGUAUUCCCUACGAUUACCAUCAACUAUGAUCUAAAGUAUUAGCUGCUUGCAGCAUUGACAGCGAAAGUUCCACUCUGCACUUAUGAAUAAAUGCACAGUUCCUGCCAAUUAACAAGACUCAUGAUUG